rnacentral:rRNA from 1 species
UACGUAGGUGGCAAGCGUUGUCCGGAUUUAUUGGGCGUAAAGCGCGCGCAGGCGGUUUCUUAAGUCUGAUGUGAAAGCCCACGGCUUAACCGUGGAAGGUCAUUGGAAACUGGGAGACUUGAGUGCAGAAGAGAAGAGCGGAAUUCCACGUGUAGCGGUGAAAUGCGUAGAGAUGUGGAGGAACACCAGUGGCGAAGGCGGCUCUUUGGUCUGUAACUGACGCUGAGGCGCGAAAGCGUGGGGGAUCAAACAGG